CGUAGCUCAGCUGGUUAGAGCAUCUGACUGUUAAUCAGAGGGCCGUUGGUUCAAGUCCAACCG
rnacentral:tRNA from 1 species